UUUAGCUGUGAGCUGAAGGGCUGGGAUGGUAAAACCCAUCACUGUCUGUUGGGCUGUGAGAGACAGAACACAGACACGCUGCUCCUCUGAAGCCCAGAGCUCCUGAUGUGUUAACAUCCCCACCUCGCCCCACUGGAUCACUCCAGCCUACCUGCUCACAUCCUGGGGCCACAACACGUUGAGAUAUGGACAGGGUUGUGAGGAGCACACACAUCACACUGAUCUACCAAGAGAUCCAUGAAAGGGAAGCAAACAAGGAACUGUGAUACACUAUAUCAUGACUGAGAGACAGUACUGAGGAGAAACAGACAUUCCAUGCCAAUAACUGCUUUUAGGUAAAAUGCCCUUUGAAGGACUUGCUUGUUUAAAGCAAUCUUCAGUUCCAGCGUAGUGACUUCAGCCUCCUUGCCCUGAAGACAGAGGACAUGGGAAUUAGAGGUUGUUAUUGAAUAAUCACUGCCACUAACUACCGCAUUUGUCAUCAGCAAUCACCACAAAUAAAAUGGCUGAAAGAUAAACAGACAAAAUCAAUGUUUAUUAAUACAGUUUGCUGUAUGAGGCCACUCAACUGUUGCUAUUGCUAAUGAUCAGGAUGGAUCACAAUUACAGAAAUAACAGGUAUAACACUUUUCCUGGGUAAUUAUAAAGAAGUAGAAUGUUUUGUCUUUCCAUCCAGCUGUUUUUGUUUGUCUUUCCUUUUAAUGGUGUCAUAAAUCUUCAGAGUCUUCUCAGAGUGGUUGUAGAUGUAUAGAGUCUACCUUCUGUGUAACCAUCAGCAUCAAACAGAAGGCUACAAGUCACACGUAGCUAUCCUAGGCUCAUUGUCUACCGCAUCUGUACAUUUCCAUCUGGUUGAUACCGUAAGUACAGUCAUUCACUAUACUGUAGCUGUGGAGGACAAUAAAGCGAACAAUGAGGCUGUUAAAUGAAAAUGAA